GAGGUUGUAGCUCAAUUGGUAGAGUGCCUGCUUAGCAUGUGUGAGGUCCUGGGUUCAAUCCCCAGUACCUCCA
rnacentral:tRNA from 1 species